rfam:Methylibium sp. NZG contig_5, whole genome shotgun sequence.
UCGCUAGUCCGCCAACCGGUCAAGCCGUGUCGCGGAAGGUUUUCAACCCAUCGGAGUGCCGGUUGCCGGCGCGAAAGGUGAGCG